rnacentral:tRNA from 1 species
GUAGGUAUAGUUUAACUAAAACAUCAGACCGUGAACCUGAUAACAAGGGCCCUAAUCCUUUACCUACC